rnacentral:rRNA from 1 species
GGUUAAGCGACUAAGCGUACACGGUGGAUGCCCUGGCAGUCAGAGGCGAUGAAGGACGUGCUAAUCUGCGAUAAGCGUCGGUAAGGUGAUAUGAACCGUUAUAACCGGCGAUUUCCGAAUGGGGAAACCCAGUGUGAUUCGUCACACUAUCAUUAACUGAAUCCAUAGGUUAAUGAGGCGAACCGGGGGAACUGAAACAUCUAAGUACCCCGAGGAAAAGAAAUCAACCGAGAUUCCCCCAGUAGCGGCGAGCGAACGGGGAGCAGCCCAGAGCCUGAAUCAGUGUGUGUGUUAGUGGAAGCGUCUGGAAAGGCGCGC